rnacentral:rRNA from 1 species
GAUGAACGCUGGCGAGAUGCCUUAUACAUGCAAGUCGUACGAGAGUUUUUAACUCAAGUGGCGGACGGGUGAGUAACAUGUAAGAAUUUGCCUUUAGGAGGGGGACAACAACUGGAAACGGUUGCUAAUACCCCAUAUGCUUUCAAGUGAAAUGGAUUUUUCCGCCUAGAGAGAAGCUUGCGGCUGAUUAGCUUGUUGGUGAGGUAAUGGCUCACCAAGGCGACGAUCAGUAUCUGGUUUGAGAGGACGAUCAGACACACUGGAACUGAGACACGGUCCAGACUCCUACGGGAGGCAGCAGUAGGGAAUUUUCCGCAAUGGGCGAAAGCCUGACGGAGCAAUCUCGCGUGAGGGAUGACGGCCUAUGGGUUGUAAACCUCUUUUUC